AUGAAGUCGGAAUCGCUAGUAAUCGCGGAUCAGCACGCCGCGGUGAAUACGUUCCGGGCCUUGUACACACCGCCCGUCACACCACGAGAGGUUUGUAACACCCGAAGUCGGUGAGGUAACCGUAAGGAGCCAGCCGCCUAAGGUGGGAUAGAUGAUUGGGGUGAAGUCGUAACAAGGUAGCCGUAUCGGAAGGUGCGGCUGGAUCACCUCCUUUCUAAGGA
rnacentral:rRNA from 1 species